CAGGAACGAAGCCCGGAGGGACAGAUUCCUUUGUACCGCCACCGAGUUAGGAUGUGACUGCUCCAGGAAAGAUCAGACCUCUACAAUACUGACGCAGGUGUUGCAUGGUGACAGACCUCCUUGAGACCCCAAACACAGUUGGAAGACACGGCUGCUGCUCUGACCCAGUAGACGGGCUGCGAGUCGUCAGGAGUUCUGGGAAUUAGAGGACAUCAUUGAGAUUCAAGGCACCGCUGGUCACUAAUGGAGGGCGAGCAAAGGGAGUCCCACGUGGGAAGUCUACAGAUCUCGACUCACCCAGGACGAAGCUGAUCACCAUGAGGCCAGCGCAGAGCAGGGCAAUGAUGAAACGCAGCGCUAGGAAUUGAACGUAAGUCUCGACGAACGCCGCGCUGAUGCCCACCACCGCCACCGCCGCGGCGCACACCACACACAUGGUCCUGCGCCCGAACCUGUCAGCAAAAGAAUAAAGGAAAUAGAGAAUAAUAUCACAUGAA